rnacentral:rRNA from 1 species
UACGUAGGGUGCAAGCGUUGCCCGGAUUUAUUGGGCGUAAAGAGCGUGUAGGCGGCCAAGCAGGUCCGUUGUGAAAACUGGAGGCUUAACCUCCAGACGUCGACGGAAACCGCGUGGCUAGAGUCCGGAAGAGGAGAGUGGAAUUCCUGGUGUAGCGGUGAAAUGCGCAGAUAUCAGGAAGAACACCAAUGGCGAAGGCAGCUCUCUGGGACGGUACUGACGCUGAGACGCGAAAGCGUGGGGAGCGAACAGG